rnacentral:rRNA from 1 species
GACGUAGGGGGCCAGCGUUGUUCGGAAUUACUGGGUGUAAAGGGUUCGUAGGCGGUGCGGCAAGUUGGGAGUGAAAUCUCUGGGCUUAACCCAGAGGCCGCUUCCGAAACUGCUGUGCUUGAGUGUGGGAGAGGCGCGUGGAAUUGCAGGUGUAGCGGUGAAAUGCGUAGAUAUCUGGAGGAACACCGGUGGCGAAGGCGGCAUCCUGGACCGGUAUUGACGCUGAGGCGCGAAAGCCAGGGGAGCAAACGGG